UGAGACUAUUCUUAAUAUUUUAGAAUCUUUUUAUGGGGUAGAAUAUGUAUGUUCUUCAACAAAUUUGCUACAAACAUUGUUUAAUUUAUUUUUACUUUUUACAGAUUUGUCCAAUUUGCCAGAUCUCUUUCCCAACUGAUGUCUUGCCUUUUCAUGCAAGCAUGUGUGGUGAAGGAGAAAGGACUUUUGGUGACAAUGAUUCUUCAUUCACUUUAAAUACAGAAGAAUUGCCAGGACCCUCAACUGCACAAUCUUCAACAUCCCUGUCUGCAGCAUGGAAAAAUGAAAUUGACCCAUUCAAAUCAUCUCGAAUGUUCUGUGAUGAGUUGCUCUCCAUCAAUUCACACUGUCCAUCUCUAUCAUUACUCAUCAACCAGUUUGAUACUAUGGAUGAACAAGAUAGUACCCUGGUUUCAUUUUAUAAAAUGAACAGUGCUAAUUGGUCCACUCCAUUGAAAUAUAGAUUGACUG